rnacentral:rRNA from 1 species
AUGGAUUGGCGUGCAGAUGUUUUAUCAGCAGAAGCCAUGGCACUACGUUUUGGCUUAUUACUUGCACAAAAGGCGGGAAGCAACCGACUUGUUGUUAACUCCGACAAUAUGGAAGUAAUUGACAUGAUGAAGAAUGGAGGACAUACAGCGGGAGCGGCGGCAGCUGUGUUUGAUGAUUGUUAUUUUAUGUUACGAACGCUGAGCCUGGCCCAUGCGGAGAAGCUCGAUCCUCUAUAG